UUAAUGAUGCAAUUAGAACAUACACCAGCUUUUCCUGUGAAGGGGACGGAAACCGGUAGCGAUGGCUGUUAUCUUCACUAGUGUCAGUCUGGACUCUCUGAUGCAGCUGUGAUGGGCACAACAAAAAAAAGCGUAAAGCACCGCUCGUGCAGGAGUGUCUUUCACUGCGUACAGUUGUCUUUGAAUGUUGACCUUGGUACGGAGUUCCCUAGCGACCGAGUAGUGAAGGAAUACAUGUAUACGAGAUCAAACCUGCACUCGGGCCUUACCUGGCACCAGCGGUCUGAUGUCUGACUUUCUGAAGAGUCUUUGCUCCAGCCACACUUGUCAAACACUGCUGCUGAAAUUAACGAGGAAAAGUGUUGCAGGUGGGUUGGAACAUAUCCCAGUGCCUCAGACCACAGGAAAGGGCUCCCUCAAUGGAUGGCCAAUAUUAAGCAAGGACUAAACAAACUUACACUUGAGUGACAACAAUAACCUGGCCUGCACGAAAACUGGUCAUCACAAGGUUUCAUUCACAGUAUUAAAGACUGAAGCUCAGCAGAAAGGAACAGAAGAUGGUGAGGGGCUUUCUAAUGAGACAAGGGGGAUGAGGAGAUAAAGUGUCCAGUGCCACAACACCAUUAAAAUCUUCACUGGGAAGAAGCCCUUUCGUACACGCUGAGUGCUCUGUUGUAACGAGUGCCGUUGAGACAGAAUACUAUCUGCGGCUGAGAGAAACUGCACACCUGCUGAAUCCACACCUCAAGUGCCUGUGAUUCCAUACCACUCCUAUUGGAGCACCUCUCCACAAGGAUUUAACUCCUUCAAGUCAUCAAUAAUUCCUCUUUUGAAAUCAGAGUUCAUAAGGCCGCACAUUCUGAAAAUGAUGGCAGGAUAAAUCAAACUCUCCAUUAAGUACCAACAGAAUUCUGGAAUGGUUUUGACAUUAAAAGUUAAUGUAUAAAACUUUUUUAACAACACUUUGUUAAUUGUUUUUAAUUAUUAUGGAUGUUGUGACCAGUUAAAGUACCUUAAUUAUACACUGUCCCUUCAAAUUCAAAUUUUAGUAAAAAAAAAAAAAGAAAAAAAAGGUUGAUUUAAAAAGGUUCAUUGAAAUGGUAUGCAUCAACUUCCAACAUAAUGGAGAAUAGUUUCCUUACUAAUUGGGCUAUCUAACUUUUUUUUUAAAGCCAUCAACAGAUGCACUGGAGAUGAACAUGCAAAAACCACAAUGAGACGAACAGAAAUAUCCCAUAAGCAUAAAAAAAACAAGUCUUCCAUUAGCUUUAAGAAAAAGACAUCAUUUUAACAGACAGACAGACAACAACAACAAAAAAAAAAAAACAAUUAUAGCACAAGUGCACCCACAGAAAAUAGCUUUAUGUAGGGUGCAGAGUGUUUUCAAAAGCUGACCUUGCAAACUUGUCCCAAGGGCCUAGAAAUUUUUCAGCUAGAGAUGGCGCUGGCAAGAAAUGUGGGAUGCUAAUAAAGAGUCUUAAUGUUUUAAAUAUAAACAACAUGCGUUUGAUGUGUUGUGUAGCAUUUUAGUCACACUGAUGUUCAAUAUCUCAACAUGAAUGGUAAACUGUUCUUCUGUCAACUGUUUUGUUUUAUGCUUGUCAUUAAAUUAUUUUAUAUUAA